rnacentral:rRNA from 1 species
AUCGAACGCUGGCGGCAGGCCUAACACAUGCAAGUCGAACGAGUGGCGGACGGGUGUGUAAUGUCUGGGAAACUGCCUGAUGGAGGGGGAAAAAUACUGGAAACGGUAGCUAAUACCGCAUACCAUCGGAUGUGCCCAGGCGGGAUUAGCGAGUAGGUGGGGUAACGGCUCACCUAGGCGACGAUCCCUAGCUGGUCUGAGAGGAUGACCAGCCACACUGGAACUGAGACACGGCCCAUACUCCUACGGGAGGCAGCAGUGGGGAAUAUUGCACAAUGGGCGCAAGCCUGAUGCAGCAAUGCCGCGUGAGUGAAGAAGGCCUUCGGGUUGUAAAGUACUUUCAGCGGGGAGGCGUUACCCGCAGAAAAAGCACCGGCUAACUCCGUGCCAGCAGCCGCGGUAAUUC